GCGGGCGUAGCCGAAUUGGUACAGGCGCACGGCUUAGGACCGUGUGGCGCAAGCUAUAAGGGUUCGAGUCCCUUCGCCCGCA
rnacentral:tRNA from 1 species